GAUUUCCAUUUGCAUUAAGUAUUGGUACAUGUCUACAUGAUGAUGAUGUAAACUUUGAUUUUCUUGGACUUUAUACAAACUUAUGUCAUGUUUAUGAUAGGUUAAACAUUCAAACUUCUAUUAUCCAUUUGUAAUUUAUAUUUUCUUUCUUAGUUUUAACUAUUUGAAUCAAAAGAAAAUGUUUAUUUUAUUUAUUUACCAAAAACUUUCUUGUUAGGUUUGGACAAGUAAUUUAAGCAACUUCAUUUUAAGCAAAGGAUUUGCAAACAUUUUUAUUAAUACUUCGGAAUCGUUCUCCUUCGCUUGAAUUUCACUUAUAUUAUUUUAUCUUAUUAGUCAUGAACUUAUCUUAUAUUAUUACCCUUUAUCGUAGCUUAUCUUAUUUUAUUUUAUAAUAUCAUAUUCUAUCUUAUCGAUCCUUAUUGAAAGUUAUAAAAAGAGUGUCUUUGAAACUUAGUGGCUCUUAUCUUACUUAUCUAAAUUUAGUGGCUCUUAUUUAUCAUAUCUUAUCUUAUUAACCCUGAACUUAUAUUAUCUUAUCUUAUUAGCCUUGCACUUAUAUUAUCUUAUUUUAUUAUCCCUUGUCGUAGCUUAUCUUAUUUUAUCUUAUCUUAUUGAUCUUUAUUGAAAGUUAUAAAAAACUUAUUGACUCUUAUCUUAUGUUAUCUGAAUUUAAUAGCCCUUAUUUUAUCCUAUCCUAUCUUAUUGACAAUUAAGCACAUUAAUAAUUGAAGAAAUGCUUUGUGAGAAACAUGGGAAUAAAUGUAUCACAUCUAAAAAUUAAUGGAAGAGACAUAAUACACAUUGAGAAUUUAAAUUUCACAUUGAUAGUGGGUUAUCUUCGCCUUAAAAUAAAAUUUAGUAAGUUAAGAUAAGUUGUAAUGAGGUUUUAUCAGGUCAAUACGUUUUGAUCAAUAUAAUUUCCAAUAAGGAGUUCAAUUUUUCAAAUCUAUACUAUAUAUUUAAAGACGUUUCUAAAUAAGUGCACGUGAUAUGUGGCUGCUUAUUAGUCAUUCACUUUAUGUCAUUUUCACAUAUAUUGAAAAAACGGGAAAUAUGGUUUGUAUAAGGUUUGACCCCCAAACUUGUAUUUAAACACUAAAAUGCUUUACCACUAAGACAUGACAUGUUUCAUGUUAUCAUUGCGAAAAUAAAUAUGAAGUAUAAAUAAAUGCAAAUGUUAUUAAUGUAGUAAUCUGAGGCAUUGCCCGGGCCCAAAAAUCAGUUUACUCUCUUACAACCAAGUCUUACCAGGUCCCCAAAGUUACAAUCAGAUACGAUCAGGCCAUAUCACGUUCAAUUAGUUAAAAUAAGUUCAAGUUUAAUCCAGCGAAUAGAAGUGAAAGCCCCUCAUAAAAUUAUAACUUUUACUUUUGAUGUACAGUAUUUAUUGUACACCACUUAUAAAUAAAUAAGAAUUUGGGUAAAAUUACAACAUUCACUUCACAAGGGUAGUUACGUCUUUUCGACACGAAGUAUUUUAGAUGUCAUAAAAUAAGGGGCCGUUUGGUUGGGGUUAAUAAUCAAAGGGAAAGGGAAUGAGUUGAUAUCAUUCCCUUUGUUGUUGUUUGUUAUGUGUAUUUUAUCAUUCCCUUUACCCCUUUUUAUUUUUGAGUUAACCCCUAAACCCUCUACACUCAUUCCCCACCCCCCCUAGACUUUCCCAUUCCCUUUCCCCCCAUCACCUCCCAAGAACAUUGACCACCAUUAUCAACGAGCUUGACCAAAUUUUAUGUCACCGCAAAACUACCAGACCCACUACCAAAACCACCAACAGCGGGUUCCACCACCCUACCUGCCACCACAAACACCGCAAAAAACCACCGGAAACUACCCACACCGCAAAAAAAGACCAUAAACUACUGGAAACCACCCUAACAAAUGUUCGAAACCAUUAUUAACCACCAAAAUCAUCGGAAAAUCACCCAAACAACCAACUCGAAGCCACCCUAACAACCAAUCGAAACAAUUAUUAACCACCACAACCCCAAAAAUUUCGAUAUAAAAUAAGAGAAUGAAAAAAUACCUUUUUCGAAUUUAUAAUUAGGGCUUUAAAUGGUCAAAUUCGACCAAAAAAACUCAAGAUCUGAAGUUUUUAGAGUCGAAUUUAAUAUUCAAAGCAUCAAACUUGUCUCUUUAUGGUCGGAAAAAGUGGGGCGACGACAGUGAGGGAAGGGGCGGCGAUAAUGAGGGGAGGGGCGACGACAAUUAGGGGAGGGGUGCGCGGCGACGGCGACAAUAAGGAGAGGGAAGCGUGGCGGCGGCGCAAUGAUUGAAGGGGCGGCAAUGAUUGGAGGGGAGGGGGGCCGGUGGUGUAGAGGCCAACAACCACGUCAAAUAAAGAUAUGGAGGAAGAGACAUAACACAAUUAUAGUACCCAAACACUUUUCUAUAUCAAAGGGUUUAAUUCCUUUCUCUUCCAUUCUCUUUGUUGAUUCCAUUCCCUUUACCCUUUACGAACCAAACGCCCCCUAAGAGUUAAGAGUUAUAUCUCGAGUGCAAUUCGAUCGGAUUACGGAGAUUACUCGAUCUCCCUAUAAAACCCUAACUUCAAUACAAACCCCAUGGCUUUGAUAUCCACCAUUGCUCCGAUCAAACUCUAACGUCCGUCAAAAUAGUCCGUUUAAUCAUGCUUCCACCAUUCCAAUGGAGACCUACGCAACCAGCUCUGCUUCCGCACCGGCUUUUCGUAAACUCAACGUAUGAGGUUGGUGAGUCAAGCACACAAGCCGCCCCGCCUCCGCCUUCCUUCACCGCCACCGCUACCUCCACCUCCACCUCCGACGCUUCCACCUCCGCCACCGCUUCCGUUGCAAGCACAACUACUUCACCAAAUUUCACGUCCGCCGCAGUCGCGAAGUCGUCCGAGGGACAAUGAGGCUGAGAAGAGUACGUGUGUUGAAGGCGAUUUGAAGAGGUUUCGAAGGUCAGAGGUACGAGCUUAAUUAGUUUGGGGAAAAAAAAUUAGUACUCCGUAGUUUAAUUAAUUUAUACAAUUAGAUGAAUUAAAUUUAGUUGUUGAUUUAGCAGCUUAAUUAGGUUUAGCAGGCAAUAUCGGAUUAAUUUGAUACAAUUCGAUGAAUUAAAUUUAGUUAUUGAUUAGCAGCUUAGAUUUAGCAAACAAUAUCGGUUUAGUUUGAUACAAUUCGAUGAAAUAAAUUUAGUUAUUGAUUUAUUGCAGCAAA